rnacentral:rRNA from 1 species
GAUGAACGCUAGCGGCAGGCUUAAUACAUGCAAGUCGAGGGGUAACAUGGUAGCAAUACUGAUGACGACCGGCAAACGGGUGCGGAACACGUACAGAACCUUCCUUUAAGCGGGGGAUAGCCCAUAGAAAUGUGGAUUAAUACCCCAUAGCAAUAUUUAAUGGCAUCAUUAGAUAUUUAAAGAUUUAUCACUUAAAGAUGGCUGUGCGGCUGAUUAGGUAGUUGGGCGGGUAACGGCCCACCAAGCCAGCGAUCAGUAACUGGUGUGAGAGCACGACCAGUCACACGGGCACUGAGACACGGGCCCGACUCCUACGGGAGGCAGCAGUAAGGAAUAUUGGUCAAUGGACGCAAGUCUGAACCAGCCAUGCCGCGUGAAGGAUGAAGGCCCUCUGGGUUGUAAACUUCCUUUAUCUGGGAAGAAUCCUAUUUUUCUAAGUGGUUGACGGUACAGACGAAUAAGCACCGGCUAACUCCGUGCCAGCAGCCGCGGUAAG